rnacentral:misc_RNA from 1 species
AAGUCGUAACAAGGUAACCGUAGGUGAACCUGCGGUUGGAUCAUUAAAAAAAAUUAUCCAAUUUUUAAGGUUAUUUUCAUUUUGAUUGUAAAAAUAUAUUAAUUUUUUUACAUGAAAAAAAGAAAAUCUCCUUAAUUUACACACCUAUGUGAACAUUUUAAAUGUUUUUUUGGUAGUUUUUUAUAUAUUAAUUUUUAUUUUUUUUGGGUUGUUAAUUUUAGAAAGUUUUUUCUUUCUUUAUUUAUUAAUCUAAAAGAAACAAAAAAAAAAGAUUUAAAACUGCCAAAAUGUUAUAUUAACCCCAUUAUUAUUUUUUUGAACUGAUUUCUUUUUUAUUCUUUGAUCUUUAAAAUUUUUUUUGAAGUGAAAAAGUCUCAAAUGAAAAAAACAACUUUUGACAACGGAUCUCUUGGUUCUC